GGUCAAGCCGCAGCUUUGGGUUGUGGUGAGGGUAGUGGGUAAAGAAGCGCCGGCUAACUACGUGCCAGCAGCCGCGGUAAUACGUAGGGCGCGAGCGUUGUCCGGAAUUAUUGGGCGUAAAGGGCUUGUAGGCGGUUGGUCGCGUCUGCCGUGAAAUCCUCUGGCUUAACUGGGGGCGUGCGGUGGGUACGGGCUGACUUGAGUGCGGUAGGGGAGACUGGAAUUCCUGGUGUAGCGGUGGAAUGCGCAGAUAUCAGGAGGAACACCGGUGGCGAAGGCGGGUCUCUGGGCCGUUACUGACGCUGAGGAGCGAAAGCGUGGGGAGCGAACAGGAUUAGAUACCCUGGUAGUCCACGCUGUAAACGUUGGGCACUAGGUGUGGGGGCCACCCGUGGUUUCUGCGCCGUAGCUAACGCUUUAAGUGCCCCGCCUGGGGAGUACGGCCGCAAGGCUAAAACUCAAAGGAAUUGACGGGGGCCCGCACAAGCGGCGGAGCAUGCGGAUUAAUUCGAUGCAACGCGAAGAACCUUACCAAGGCUUGACAUGCACGGCGACACUGCAGAGAUGUGGUGGCAUUUAGUUGGUCGUGUGCAGGUGGUGCAUGGUUGUCGUCAGCUCGUGUCGUGAGAUGUUGGGUUAAGUCCCGCAACGAGCGCAACCCUUGCCCUAUGUUGCCAGCACGUGAUGGUGGGGACUCGUGGGGGACUGCCGGGGUUAACUCGGAGGAAGGUGGGGAUGACGUCAAAUCAUCAUGCCCCUUAUGUCUUGGGCUUCACGCAUGCUACAAUGGUUGGUACAGAGGGUUGCGAUACUGUGAGGUGGAGCGAAUCCCUUAAAGCCAGUCUCAGUUCGGAUUGGGGUCUGCAACUCGACCCCAUGAAGGUGGAGUCGCUAGUAAUCGCAGAUCAGCAACGCUGCGGUGAAUACGUUCUCGGGCCUUGUACACACCGCCCGUCACGUCACGAAAGUUGGUAACACCCGAAGCCCAUGGCCUAACCGUUUUUGCGGGGGGAGUGGUCGAAGGUGGGAUUGGCGAUUGGGACGAAGUCGUAACAAGGUAGCCGUACCGGAAGGUGCGGCUGGAUCACCUCCUUU
rnacentral:rRNA from 1 species